UACGUAGGGUGCAAGCGUUAAUCGGAAUUACUGGGCGUAAAGCGUGCGCAGGCGGUUCGUUGUGUCGGCGGUGAAAGCCCCGGGCUCAACCUGGGAAUGGCCGUUGAAACUGGCGAACUGGAGUGUGGCAGAGGGGGGUGGAAUUCCGCGUGUAGCAGUGAAAUGCGUAGAGAAUGCGGAGGAACACCGAUGGCGAAGGCAGCCCCCUGGGCUGACACUGACGCUCAGGCACGAAAGCGUGGGGAGCAAACAGG
rnacentral:rRNA from 1 species